UUCAAUGUUAUCUUGCUUUUUACAGCUUA
rnacentral:sRNA from 1 species